CACGUAGGAGGCAAACGUUAUCCGGAUUCACUGGGCGUAAAGCGCGUGCAGGUGGUUUCGUAAGUAGGGCGUGAAAGCUCCCGGCUCAACUGGGAGAGGCCGUACUAAACUGCGGAGCUAGAGGAUGGUAGAGGGAGGUGGAAUUCCAGGUGUAGUGGUGAAAUGCGCAGAUAUCUGGAGGAACACCAGUGGCGAAGGCGGCCUCCUGGACCAUACCUGACACUCAGACGCGAAAGCUAGGGUAGCAAACGGAAUUAGAGACU
rnacentral:rRNA from 1 species